rnacentral:lncRNA from 1 species
AUAGUUCCAAACCAGUUUGAGCUACAAAGUGAAACCUUGUCUCAAAAACCAAACAAGAGCUGUCUCCUUGGUUAAGAGUGCUUAUUGGGUAUAAUAAGGACUGGAAGUUGGGUUUGGCUAUCAUCACUCCAGGAAAGAGAACAGAUCUUCAACCCCAGCUCCAACUGAGACCUGAGGGCUUGCUGGCUUGCAGCUUAGCUGACAAAAGGCAAAAGGGGAGCCGCAGAUUCAGGGGGAAACUCAAUCUUAAAGGAGUAGGUGACAUUGUAGAGGAGAUCACCCAAAGGCCCCUCUGGCCUCUGCUUAGAGAGAGAGGUGCUUACCAUCACACCCUUAUGCCCAUACAUUCACACACAAAUAUAUGCAUAACUCUAAAAUAAAUCUAUUUUUAAAAAAGGUUGGGAAUGGUGUCAUAAGCCUAAAAUUGUGGCAGCACUUAGAAAGUUGAGGCCAGAGUCAAUCAAACAAAAAACCAAAUACCUUUUCCUAAUGGCGUGGCCAGGUGAGCAGUUUCUUUACUGUAUCUCUGGCAUACAGGAAAGGGGAAAGGCAAUUUCAAUAGGGUUAUGUGUGUUAUGUGAGGGGCAAAAAUAAUAGGGAUCAUACUGUGGGACUAGGGCAAGUAAACCCAAAUCCUUCUUCUGGUCUGUUUUUCUGUUAAGUCAAAGGCAUCAGUUGAUACCAAUGCUUCCCAGAUGUAAACUUUCUUCUUCUUUUUAAUUAUUUAUUCACUUUAUGUAUAUGAGUACACUGUAGCUGUCUUUGGACACAUCAGAAGAGGGUAUUGAAUCCCACUGCAGAUGGUUGUGAGCUACCAUGUGGUUGCUGGGAGUUGAACUCAGGACCUCUGGAAGAGCAGUCAAUGCUUUAUAAACCACUGAGCUAUC